rnacentral:miRNA from 1 species
ACCUCAUUGAUCGGAAGGAUAUCCUUCCGGCCGAUGAGAUACAACAACACCAUCAACCGGAAGGAAUCCCUUCCGGUCAAUGGGGCUGUUACACCUCAUCAACCGGAAGGGAUUCCUUCUGGUUGAUGAGGUUGUUACACCUCAUUGACCGGAAGGAAUCCUUCUGGUCGAUGAGGU